CCUACGGGAGGCAGCAGUGAGGAAUAUUGGUCAAUGGCCGUAAGGCUGAACCAGCCAAGUCGCGUGAAGGAAGAAGGAUCUAUGGUUUGUAAACUUCUUUUAUAGGGGACUAAAGGUAUCCACGUGUGGAUAUUUGCAUGUACCCUAUGAAUAAGCAUCGGCUAACUCCGUGCCAGCAGCCGCGGUAAUACGGAGGAUGCGAGCGUUAUCCGGAUUUAUUGGGUUUAAAGGGUGCGUAGGUUAUUUUUUAAGUCAGCGGGGAAAGUUUGUGGCUAAAGCAUAAAAUUGCCGUUGAAACUGGAAGACUUGAGUGUGUUUGAGGUAGGCGGAAUGCGUGGUGUAGCGGUGAAAUGCAUAGAUAUCACGCAGAACUCCGAUUGCGAAGGCAGCUUACUAAGCCAUAACUGACACUGAAGCACGAAAGCGUGGGGAUCAAACAGGAUUAGAUACCCGAGUAGUC
rnacentral:rRNA from 1 species